ensembl:lncRNA
CCAGCCCCCUGGGCAUAUGCUGUAUAAACAGAUGGCAGUUACCUGGUUCCCCCUACUAUUUGAGGAUAAGACAAUAAGCCACCAGGGUGUAUAAAUGAAUGUGAGAGGUGCAAAUUUAGAAGUAGAAAUUGAGAAAAUUGUGGUAUUAUUAGCAGCAGACACCAUACGUCUGAUGCCUCUGAAUUCUUGGCCCUACACAGGCAUCCUUUUGAAGGUGAGUUUCCAGGACAAUUUUGCUUAGGAAGAUAACAGAGUGGUCUUACUGAUGCACUGGGUUUAUGAAUGGCUAACUUUUAAGCAGAGAGCUCAUGUUAUGCAUAAAUGGAGAGGAAGGAGAAGGUAUGGUGUCUUUGUUAGGGUAAUGAAGCUGACAUUCUGCCCAAGCAUCUUCUAGUUUGCAUGCAGAGGGAACAAAUCUCAGAGCAGCACCAGAGCAGAAGGGAGAGGGAGCAAGAGGAGGAUGGGAGCUGUCAAGUUGGUUGGAAAGGGAAGAGAACAGAGAGUGGGACCACGAGGGAGGAAGGAUCUGCCCUGAGAAGCAGAUAUGAGUUAGGAGAAGUGAGACAGAUGGGAGAGGAGGAAAUGGCUGACUGAGACUGAUUUAUGUGAGAUAACAGGAGAAGAGUGGAGGCUGGAAAGGCAGUGAGAGGAGGGUACUGAGUUCAGUUAGGUAGCCUAGUUAGAAACACUAGCAAGAGACACCUUAAGGGAAGAGCCAUGUGCCCCAUAGGGCCAGCUGGAUGCAAAUUAUAGGUCUGUGGUACACAAGAGGUUACAUUAAGUAAUAGUCAUUCUUUGGCUUUAAAACAAAAAACUGGAAGACGUGCUAUUCUCUUUGGGGUACGAUGAGAGAAGAAGAGGUAAUUGUCAUGAACUAAGGAGAGAAAAGUUCAGACUCAUAAAGAGAAAGCUCCACAGCGAGGACAUUUGGGCAGUGGCACAGGCUCAGGUUGCCCUGCAGGGUCUCCACCUCAGGCAUUUUCAAGAUCAUCCUCUCUCUUGCUCUGUUAGCGCUAAUGCCUGGCACUUUCACACAGAUCCAGUGUUUCCAGUCCUGGAGAGUGAUAAAUGAUGAACACCUCUGCUCCUACCUGUUGGCUUUUAUUAAGUCCAGAAAGCUACUUCAGUGAAUAUUAUCAAGUUUGCAAAGACAAGCAUGCCGAUGGCAGGAAUGGGAGGAAGCCUCUCUUCAUCCAGCUUCCAAUGCAUAUGCAGUAGCAUUCAAAUAUUGAGCGUGAAGCC